rnacentral:rRNA from 1 species
AUUGAACGCUGGCGGCAGGCCUAACACAUGCAAGUCGAGCGGAUGAAGGGAGCUUGCUCCUGGAUUCAGCGGCGGACGGGUGAGUAAUGCCUAGGAAUCUGCCUGGUAGUGGGGGAUAACGUCCGGAAACGGGCGCUAAUACCGCAUACGUCCUGAGGGAGAAAGUGGGGGAUCUUCGGACCUCACGCUAUCAGAUGAGCCUAGGUCGGAUUAGCUAGUUGGUGGGGUAAAGGCCUACCAAGGCGACGAUCCGUAACUGGUCUGAGAGGAUGAUCAGUCACACGGGAACUGAGACGCGGUCCAGACUCCUACGGGAGGCAGCAGUGGGGAAUAUUGGACAAUGGGCGAAAGCCUGAUCCAGCCGUGCCGCGUGUGUGAAGAAGGUCUUCGGAUUGUAAAGCACUUUAAGUUGGGAGGAAGGGCAGUAAGUUAAUACCUUGCUGUUUUGACGUUACCAACAGAAUAAGCACCGGCUAACUUCGUG